rnacentral:rRNA from 1 species
UACGUAGGUGGCAAGCGUUGUCCGGAUUUAUUGGGUUUAAAGGGUGCGUAGGUGGCCUAUUAAGUCAGUGCUGAAAUAUCCCGGCUUAACCGGGAGGGUGGCAUUGAUACUGAUGGGCUUGAGUGGAGUCGAGGUAGGCGGAAUUGACGGUGUAGCGGUGAAAUGCUUAGAUAUCGUCAAGAACACCUAUUGCGAAGGCAGCUUACUAGGCUCAAACUGACACUGAUGCACGAAAGUGUGGGGAUCAAACAGG